GAUGAGCGCUGGCGGCGUGCCUAAUACAUGCAAGUCGAGCGAACAGACGAGGAGCUUGCUCCUCUGACGUUAGCGGCGGACGGGUGAGUAACACGUGGAUAACCUACCUAUCAGACUGGGAUAACUUCGGGAAACCGGAGCUAAUACCGCAUAAUAUAUUGAACCGCAUGGUUCAAUAGUGAAAGACGGUUUUGCUGUCACUUAUAGAUGGAUCCGCGCCGCAUUAGCUAGUUGGUAAGGUAACGGCUUACCAAGGCAACGAUGCGUAGCCGACCUGAGAGGGUGAUCGGCCAAACUGGAACUGAGACACGGUCCAGACUCCUACGGGAGGCAGCAGUAGGGAAUCUUCCGCAAUGGGCGAAAGCCUGACGGAGCAACGCCGCGUGAGUGAUGAAGGUCUUCGGAUCGUAAAACUCUGUUAUUAGGGAAGAACAAAUGUGUAAGUAACUAUGCACGUCUUGACGGUACCUAAUCAGAAAGCCACGGCUAACUACGUG
rnacentral:rRNA from 1 species